AACGAACGCUGGCGGCAUGCCUAACACAUGCAAGUCGAACGAAACCUUCGGGUCUAGUGGCGCACGGGUGCGUAAGGCGAGGGAACCUGCCCUUAGGUUCGGAAUAACUCCCCGAAAGGGGUUCUAAUACCGGAUAGGAUCUUCACACCAAGGACUUAUCGUCCUUGGAUGGGUCCGCGUUCGAUUAGCUAGUUGGUAGGGUAAAAGCCUACCGAGGCGAAGAUGCCUAGCUGGUCUGAGAGGAUGCUCAGCCACACGGGGACUGAGCCACGGCCCAGACUCCUACGGGAUGCAGAAGUGCUGAACACUGGACUACGGGCGCAAGCCUGAGCCAGCAAGGUGGCGUGAGCGACGAAGGGCUUAGGGGUGGAAAGCCCCUCUAUCCGGGAUGAUAAUGACAGUACCGGGAGAAGAAGCACCGGCUAACUUCGUG
rnacentral:rRNA from 1 species